rnacentral:rRNA from 1 species
UACGGGGGGGGCAAGCGUUGUUCGGAAUUACUGGGCGUAAAGGGCUCGUAGGCGGCCAACUAAGUCGGACGUGAAAUCCCUCGGCUUAACCGGGGAACUGCGUCCGAUACUGGAUGGCUUGAGUUCGGGAGAGGGAUGCGGAAUUCCAGGUGUAGCGGUGAAAUGCGUAGAUAUCUGGAGGAACACCGGUGGCGAAGGCGGCAUCCUGGACCGACACUGACGCUGAGGAGCGAAAGCAUGGGGAGCAAACAGG